CGGAGGCGGCGGCGUCCGGACCCCGCUCCCGCCGGGCUCCCGGGUCCCUGAGGGCGCGAGAGACCCCGAAUCCCGAGGCGGGCCGGGACCAGGGCGCGGCCGCACCCCCCACCCAGCCCAGCGCGGGGCCGGGCCGUGGGAACGCCCUCCCGGAAUGAAGCGCUUCCCGGUGCCUUCAAGAGUUCUAAGCCCAACCCCAUCGGAUUGGAAGAACCUAAGCCGCCUACCCACUGCGUUUGGAGUUACUUCUCUCAGUCCGCCUCAGUUUGAGAUUUACUCCCCAUGCAGGCAACCGCCUUCACUUCUCCUUUCUCCUCCCUACGCCUCCAUCUCCGGGUCUCUGAGAUCCCCUCCCGCACUUUCGCCUAACGCUCCUGGGAGCCACCUCACCCUCCCCGAAAACUACCUCCCUCCAGCCAGGGAACUCUAACAUCCAUUCCAGAUCACCCGCGGAGCCAGGGGCCACCCUCCCUAACCCCACCUCACCACAUCCGUCUCCUCUCAAUUCCCUGGCUGAGACCAGCCAAGAAAGGGUCAAAGCUGGAGGCUAAGACAGCCACUCCCCCCACAUCCCCAUCCCUGCUGGGGAUCUCAGUGCCACACUAGCCCCUCCCUCCCAACUCACCUCCCAGUCCUGCCCCCUUCCCCACCUUAAAUCCACCCCGUAUAACCCAGUGACAACACUCGAUGGCAAGCCCCGUGCUGCUCACCUUGACAUCCAUCCUUCAGUCCGCCACAUUUUAUUAAUGUGUGCAGCAGUUCUGGGCGGCAUAACCUUGACCUCUGAAAAGGUGCCCAUCCCCCUCCUCUCAGUACACCUUCCCUCCCGCCCACCCCAACCACCGCGCGUACAAGAACGUGAGAGACUCAAGUUAAUGGUUUCCUUGGGGACCUUCUGGGAACACUCAGCAGGUAUAUCCUGCCACCCCGGGCGCAUAACACUAGAAACAAACUUGCUUUUUCCUGUUUUUAUUGUCCUACUCACCCCACAGUUUCUCAGCAUCCCCUGGACUGGGGGGGUAGGGAGCAGCUCACACAGGUUUUUCUCACCAUCUCAAUCCAAAUUGGACUAUCUGGUGUGUUCUGAGAGUGACACAGAUGAAGGUCAGCAGGUGGAAAAUCCGGUGUCAGGGAACUGGCUAUUCCUAGUCUAAACUUCGGUUCCUUGUGUGUAAAAUGGGGCCAAUGGGGAGGUGCAGGGCGAGGGAAGGAGCCCAAGUGAGAAUUGAUUUGUGUGCUGAUGCUGUUGGACAGGUGGCUUGGGGAGCGGGGUAGGAAAUAGGUAAGGGUCAUUUAUUUAGAGCCAGCCAAGCCUCCGUAAGUAGUACAUUGAGAUAGGAUCCACUUAUUAGUACCCUCCUUCAGGUCCUCAAAGGAGGCAGUAUGUACUUGUCACUACCUGGUUUGAGGCACUGGAACGUGUGGGGUGGACUUAUAGAAGUCACCUCCUACCGUAGGUUCAUCUCAGCCUCGCUGCUUCCAUCCACUUUGUUCACAGUAGGGGUAGCCCUCACAGGACAAUGCAGCUGUAAAUGCAUGAUCCUUGUAGUAAAUUGAGGAUCUCAGUGGUAUUAAGGAAAAAUGAUCUUUAGAGCAACUGGCCCAGACUCCAGAAUUAGGAGAUUAGAGGGUGCUGUUCCAGCUUUUUCUCUCCACUACUACGCAUCACUCAAAGAAUGAAAGAAUAAUUUGCUUUCUAGUU